GGGGAAUAUUGGACAAUGGGCGCAAGCCUGAUCCAGCCAUACCGCGUGGGUGAAGAAGGCCUUCGGGUUGUAAAGCCCUUUUGUUGGGAAAGAAAUCCAGCUGGCUAAUACCCGGUUGGGAUGACGGUACCCAAAGAAUAAGCACCGGCUAACUUCGUGCCAGCAGCCGCGGUAAUACGAAGGGUGCAAUCGUUACUCGGAAUUACUGGGCGUAAAGCGUGCGUAGGUGGUCGUUUAAGUCCGUUGUGAAAGCCCUGGGCUCAACCUGGGAACUGCAGUGGAUACUGGACGACUAGAGUGUGGUAGAGGGUAGCGGAAUUCCUGGUGUAGCAGUGAAAUGCGUAGAGAUCUGGAGGAAUACCGGUGGCGAAGGCGGCCCCCUGGACAAAGACUGACGCUCAGGUGCGAAAGCGUGGGGAGCAAACA
rnacentral:rRNA from 1 species